rnacentral:rRNA from 1 species
GCGUAGGAAUCUGCCCGGUAGCGGGGAUAGCCCAGAGAAAUUUGGAUUAAUACCGCAUACGCCCUAAGGGGAAAGGAGGGAACUCUUCGGAGCCUUCCACUAUCGGAUGAGCCUGCGUCGGAUUAGCUUGUUGGUGGGGUAAUGGCCUACCAAGGCGACGAUCCGUAGCUGGUCUGAGAGGAUGAUCAGCCACACCGGAACUGAGACACGGUCCGGACUCCUACGGGAGGCAGCAGUGGGGAAUAUUGCACAAUGGAGGAAACUCUGAUGCAGCCAUGCCGCGUGUAUGAAGAAGGCCUC